GACGAACGCUGGCGGCGUGCUUAACACAUGCAAGUCGAACGGAAAGGCCCUGCUUUUGUGGGGUGCUCGAGUGGCGAACGGGUGAGUAACACGUGAGUAACCUGCCCUUGACUUUGGGAUAACUUCAGGAAACUGGGGCUAAUACCGGAUAGGAGCUCCUGCUGCAUGGUGGGGGUUGGAAAGUUUCGGCGGUUGGGGAUGGACUCGCGGCUUAUCAGCUUGUUGGUGGGGUAGUGGCUUACCAAGGCUUUGACGGGUAGCCGGCCUGAGAGGGUGACCGGCCACAUUGGGACUGAGAUACGGCCCAGACUCCUACGGGAGGCAGCAGUGGGGAAUAUUGCACAAUGGGCGGAAGCCUGAUGCAGCAACGCCGCGUGCGGGAUGACGGCCUUCGGGUGGUAAACCGCUUUCGCCUGUGACGAAGCGUGAGUGACGGUAAUGGUAAAGAAGCACCGGCUAACUACGUG
rnacentral:rRNA from 1 species